rnacentral:rRNA from 1 species
ACUGAGACACGGCCCAGACUCCUACGGGAGGCAGCAGUGGGGAAUAUUGCACAAUGGGGGAAACCCUGAUGCAGCCAUGCCGCGUGUGUGAAGAAGGCCUUCGGGUUGUAAAGCACUUUCAGUUGUGAGGAAAGGUUGGUAGUUAAUACCUGCCAGCUGUGACGUUAACAACAGAAGAAGCACCGGCUAACUCCGUGCCAGCAGCCGCGGUAAUACGGAGGGUGCGAGCGUUAAUCGGAAUUACUGGGCGUAAAGCGCACGCAGGCGGUUUGUUAAGCUAGAUGUGAAAGCCCCGGGCUCAACCUGGGAUGGUCAUUUAGAACUGGCAGACUAGAGUCUUGGAGAGGGGAGUGGAAUUCCAGGUGUAGCGGUGAAAUGCGUANGNAGANUCUGGANGGANACNAUCNAGUGGCGAAGGCGACUCCCUGGCCAAAGACUGACGCUCAUGUGCGAAAGUGUGGGUAGCGAACAGGAUUAGAUACCCUGGUAGUCCACACCGUAAACGCUGUCUACUAGCUGUGUGUGUAUUUUAUACGUGCGUAGCGAAGCUAACGCGCUAAGUAGACCGCCUGGGGAGUACGGCCGCAANNGGUUAAAACUCAAAUGAAUUGACGGGGGCCCGCACAAGCGGUGGAGCAUGUGGCUUAAUUCGAUGCAACGCGAAGAACCUUACCUACACUUGACAUGCAGAGAACUUUCUAGAGAUAGAUUGGUGCCUUCGGGAACUCUGACACAGGUGCUGCAUGGCUGUCGUCAGCUCGUGUCGUGAGAUGUUGGGUUAAGUCCCGCAACGAGCGCAACCCUUGUCCUUAGUUGCCAGCAUUAGGUUGGGCACUCUAAGGAGACUGCCGGUGACAAACCGGAGGAAGGUGGGGACGACGUCAAGUCAUCAUAGCCCUUACGUGUAGGGCUACACACGUGCUACAAUGGCAAGUACAGGGGGAAGCGAGACAGUGAUGUGGAGCGGA